rnacentral:rRNA from 1 species
CCCUUAGAUGUUCUGGGCCGCACGCGUGCUACACUGAGUGGAUCAGCGGGUCAGGUUGCGCGAAAGUGUUUCCUAAGCUUUAAAUCCGCUCGUGAUGGGGAUUGACGGUUGCAAUUUUCCGUCAUGAACGAGGAAUACCUUGUAAGCGCGGGUCAUCAUCCCGCGCUGAAUACGUCCCUGCCCUUUGUACACACCGCCCGUCGCUCCUACCGAUUGAGUGGUCCGGUGAGGCUUUGGGAUCUGAGCGGAAAGAGCGUUUCGCUGUUUCUGCCCGGAAAACUCAGUCGAACCUUAUCAUUUAGAGGAAGGAGAAGUCGUAACA